UAUCGGUGAUGAUAUGGAAUUAACACUCAAGCAAUUUAAAGGGGCUAUUAAGGAAGACAAGCAAAUUUAUAAAAAAGGAGGUUAAUCAUACCAAAAGCCCCAUAUUAACAAAUAAAAAUGUGGCAAUCCUAAGGGAAACCUUAAUAUAAGUACUUCCCGAACCAAAACAUUGUAGUAGGGAAAGGAAAGUAAAUCAACCGAGACUCCGAAAGUAAUGGUGAGUGAAAUCGGACCAGCCUAUCAAUAAUUUAAAAACUGAAAUUUCUUUCGAAUAAGAUAUCAUAUACCCGUCCGAAGGACAGCUUUGCGCGGGAGCCGAAGAAGGUGUUAGCCCUGUAGGGGUUUAAAUUAUUGUAUAUCAAGUACGAUGAGAGAUAACUUGUCGGAAUAAAGGGGAACCAUCCUCUAAGGGCUAAGUAUUAUAAAUUUAGCGAUAGUGAACAGUACUGUAAAGGAAAGUUGAAAAGAAAGUAGAUGACUAGUGAAAAGAUCCUGAAUUAGUAGCUCUAUAAGCAGUCGGAAUUUAAAUUAAAUAAUGUUGAAUGACGACGUACCUUUUGCAUAAUGGGUCAGCAAGUUAAUAUUAGUAGCGAGGUUUAAAGCCCUAGCGAAAGCGACUGUACCGAUAUAAUACAAAAUAUAUAGGUAAUGGGAUUAUGUUACUGAUAUUAGACCCGAAACGAGGUGAUCUUUCCAUGGCCAGAUUAUAAUGGAUCGAACGGGUGAAUGUUGCAAAAUUCUCCGAUGAGCUGUGGAAAGGGGUAAGCCUAAAUUGCCCAGUAAAUGAGAAAUUAUUUACAAUAUACCAACUCAUAACGGUGAAACCUAAAGUUUAAAGUUUUAAACCAUGGCAAUACCGUGGGAAGUCGUAAUGUAGUAGAAACACGGUAACUAAAAAAUGACUCAACCCACUCGGUGGGUUGCCUCUACUUUUUCGAUGUCGAGUCGAGUGGCCAACGGUCCUCACAAAAAGUAGCGGUUAGUUAUUUUAAUUUAUCUAAAGAUAAGUUCUCAUUAUUGACCCUGUAACGACUGAUUCGAAAGAUGAGACGUAGAAAACUGGUAGUCCAGUCUUGUUCCUUAAAUAAGGACAUGUCUAUGUGACACGUUGGCACUUUACAGUUUCAACUUGCUAUGUAAAUUAAAUUUGCUAAGGCAAGAGUAAAGUUGAAGGUAUAGUCUGAGCCUUAAUGAAAAUUAAGGAUUAACUUGGAAAGGCCAUUCUGACCUCGAGAUAGCUGAUAUUCCACGAAACAUUUUUUAGAAUGACACUUACGAUUUUUUUUUUUCAUGAGAUUUAUGCAGGUACAGCACUAGGAAUUCCAUACUCUGUGUUUCCGACACAGGUUAAAUUGGGGGGUGUUGCAACUCUACCAUUGGAAAUUAAUCUCGGAAUGGCAUAAAUUGAUAGUAAGUAUUCAGACUGUUCAUGAUAAGGUGGGCAGUCAAAACGGAAACAGCCGUGAGCAUGUAUUAAGGUCCCAAAAUGAUUAUUAAGUGAAAUAAAGGAAGUUACUCUCUAAAUACAGCUAUAAAGUGAGCUUGGCAGUCGCUAUCUUUUAAUGAUCGUGUAACAACGCAGUAGUCUAAUGGAGUUUAGCACCGAAAAUUUAACGGGUCUAGAUAAUCUACCGAAAUCAUGCCGCUUUGAUAUAUUAUGUCCCUGUUAUCGAUAAUUGUAGUAUAAUAUGUCCAAGUUGGGUAGUGGAACAUUCAGAACGGAUGAAGAACAGUGUUUCAUUGUUUGGACGUAACUGAAGAGAUAAUGCUGACAUGAGUAACGUAGAAAGAAGUUAUAAUACUUCUCGCCGAAUACGAAAGGGUUGUCCGGUAAAGUUAAACUGCCGGACGUUAUAGCGGCCUCUAAGCUACAAAACCAAUGUUUUGUGUGAUGAGUUUUUCACAGAAAGUCUAUUAUUUUGAAAAAUAAUAGACCAGGAAAAGAAUGUGAAUGUUCUACCGCACUGCGGCCCACAGAACACUAACUACCGUACCCUAAACCGACACAGGUUCGUUGGUAGAGAAUACUCAGGCGUAGAGAUAAUGCUUGUAAAGGAACUCGGCAAGUUGUCCUCAUAAGUUUGGCAAUAAGAGGAGCCAUUUAAUGUAUUAAAUGGUGUCACAGAAUCGGAGGCCACGACUGUUUAAUUAAAACACAGACAUCUGCUACGAUUAAUUUAUUUGUAUAGGUGUUGAAUUUUGCCCCAUGCCAUCAACAUAAGGUCUGCGAGUUCAAAUAUGCGGAUUGAAAGUCUGGUUAAUGGCGGUCUUAACUAUAAGGAUCAGAUUCUAAUAUAACUACCAUAUUAGGGUCCUUUUUAAAUUUAACUAUAUGCUGGAACAUCUUUUUAAUGGAUUGUUUUACAUUGUUUUUAUAUUUAAAUUGCGAUGGUCAUGCUUUUAUAAGCAUGACAAAUACUAUUUAGCUGGGGUGCCCAAACAAUUGUUUGAACAAUUGUUUGGGUCACCCUGGGGGUGCCCAGCGAAGCUGGGUCACCCGAUGAAUAAAAAUAAUCAACGGUCCUCACAAAAAGUGUCGGUCAAAGAAAUAUAACAUGAACAUGAAUACAUUAAUUAGUAAAGAUAAUCAGCAGGGAAUUACUAGAGAUAUUAACCAAAAAGGAUAUUUAUUUUGGUUAGGUGGAUUCUACGAGGGAGAAGGUUCUGCUUCUGUAUCAAUUAGUAUAAGUUCAACUUUCAAGUUUGGAGUUCAAUUACAGCCUACCUUUAACGUAUCGGGUGACCCAGCUUCGCUGGGCACCCCCAGGGUGACCCACGAAAAUGGUUUACCUAUUUUACAAUCUUUUAAAGAUUUAUUUGGUUCAGGUUAUUUGGUUAAAAAAUCUGGGUCCGAUCUAGUCUGGGUUUAUACCCUUAAAGGAUAUAAAAAUAUGAUUGAAAAAGUUAUACCUUUCGUGGAUACAUAUGUUAGCCCUUUUAGUUGCAAGAGACACGAGUAUGAAGUGUUUAAAGAAAUAAGUCUUAGACUUAAUUCUCAAGAACAUCUUACGCAAGAGGGUUUAAUAAAAUUGGUAGAGCUGGCGUAUUUUAUUUAUAGUGCGCCAUAGGCGCAUGAUAAAUAAAAAUACUUAUCAAGGAAAAGGUAAGUUUAGAAAAAGAACACUAAAUGAGAUUAUUGAAAUUAUUAAAGAUAAAGAUAGCUUUUUCCAAAAAGAAUCUGUAACUCCACGUGAAGUGUAAGUUUAUAUCCUAGUUCCCUCAGAGACUAAACGUUAAACAAAAGUAAAAAUUACAUAAAUUUCAGACUCAUCUGAAUGUAUGAUAGUUUAUCUAUUAUAUAAAUAACCCCCUUUUAAAGGUUUGGUAAAGGAAUUUUGCUUUUGAUGAUAUAGUCCACAUAUUUAUAAUAAUAUAAAUAUUAAAGCCUAAGGUAGCGAAAUUUAUUGUCCGUUAAAUGCGGUCCCGCAUGAAUAAAGUAACGAUGGUCUCACUGUCUCUACAAGCAUCUCAGUGAAAUUGAAUUAGCCGUGCAGAUGCGGCUUACCUCCGGGUGGACGGGAAGAGUAAAACGCGACUAGCUAAAUUUAUUAUAACAAUGUGGUGUAAGCCCACCAAGUAAUCCAUUACUUGAGCCUAAACAGCAUGCUAUCGAAGUAAUUUUAUAGCGUGAAGCCUGUGAAUUCUCUAAUAAAAAUAAGUCAGAUUGAUAUAAAUCGACGGAUAGAUACUGCCAAGCAUGCUUGGCAGUCGCUAUCGCCAAUCGAGUGGCUAGAUACCUAUGGGCAAGUUAUUGAAUCCAUGUUUGAAGCGUGUACCUGGUUGUAGAAAGGUUUUCCCGUAUCUUUCUUAAUGGAUCUAAAUCCUAUGCACGUAUAGUGGGGUCCUAAGGGUAUUAUUAAGGUGUUAUAGUAGGAACUAGGUAAGCCCAAUGACAACCAUCUAUAAGAUGGAGGUUUUAUUGUGAAAUGAAAUAUCUGUCAGUGGGUAAAGGACGUUCAAAAAAGCGAAUGCCUCACUGUAAUGGUGAGGAUAGGUUUAUAACUAUUUCGAAAGAAAGCUGACUUUGAACUAAUACUCUAAAGUUUGGUACAUAUUGUUUCUUGUUAAUGUGUAUCAUGCUAAUUUUUCAGAUUUAAACAACAAGAACUAGUUAUUUUGAAUAAAGUUACCCCCAAAAUUUUUUCUAUAUGUUAAGCUUUAAGCUUAACAUUAUUAAAAAAUUUUGGGGCUACAAGCAAGUGCAUGAGGAAUGCAUCGUGGUCAGAGAAGGCUAAUCCCCUAAACUCUGAUAGAGACUUAAAGAUUUAACUGGGGUUUAAACUAUAAUAAUUAUAAUUACUUUCGAUUGCUAUCCUAAAUCUAUUCCUCAUAAUUCUAUUUUUUGUGUUGUUGUUAAACAAUUUUAGUGGUGACAAUUUGUUCAUUUAUGCAGCAAAUGAAUCUGUAGAUUCACUGUUUACUUUUUAUUUAUAUUUAAGUUCUAGUUCUCCUAUUUUAUUUAAAGAAACAACAGAUGUUUCAAUAAAAAGAGAUAUGGCUAAGGCUGAUCCUGAAUUGAAGUUAAAUCCUAUGUGGGUUACUGGUAUAUCAGAUGGAGAGGGUAACUUCUCAGUUAAUAUUCAAAAAGGUGUUAACAGCCCCAAAGUAGCUUUAACUUUCAAAAUAGAUCAAAAAGAAGAUUCUGCAGGAAUACUUUAUGAUCUUGCUCGAUAUUUUAAUUGUGGGAAAGUGGUCUCUGAUAACAGAGGAUUUAAAAGCUUUCGUCUAUGCAUCGUGCGCUUUUAAGCGCACGAUGCAUAGUCGUGCCCUCCUGGGAGGGAGCCAUACAUCAAAUCAUAGAUUUGAUGAUGGCCCCCGUUGGGGAAGUAACUAAAUUAACUGAUAUUGUAAAUGUUAUAAUACCUCAUUUCAAUGAAUAUCCUUUAGUUACUUCAAAACAAUUGAAUUUUUUAGCAUCAACCCACCUACGGUGGGUUGCCUACACUUUUUGAUGGGCCAACGGUCCUCACAAAAAGUGUCGGUUAAAGAAAUAGCCUUAAUGCUGGACAACAAAUCAAAUGGUUUAGACAUUGAUAUUGAUCGAAUUGAAGCUAUAAUUAGUAAUAUGAAUUCUCGAAGAAGUUUCUUAGAGAAAUGGACGUAUCUCUCAAAAUCUUUAUUGACUGCCUUGAAUCCACAUUGGCUUCAAGCAUUCAUAGAUGCUGAGGGGUCAUUCCAAUUUGGUAUUGGUAGGAAGCUGUAGUAUCAACUACGUUGGUACUACAGCUCCCAAGUUUAGUGCUAUAGCCCGCCGACAGAGGAUCAUGCUUGCAUGAUCGUAGUCGGCGGUGGCCGCGGCCUCCUGUCAUGCUCGCAUGACCAUAUAGCCGCGGGCUAUAGCAUUAACUGAUAGAAUUAGCAGAGGUUCUAAAUAUGUUGCAACAACUCCUACUUUAGAAAUAGCUCAAAAUACACAUGAUGUUAAAGUAUUGGAUUUAAUCAAACAAUACUUUGAUGCUGGUUAUAUUAAACCAAAAUUUGAUAUCAACCCACCUACGGUGGGUUGCCUACACUUUUUGAUGUGCCAACGGUCCUCACAAAAAGUGUCGGUACUAGUUUGGAAGAUGCUAUGGCAGUAAGAAGUGUUUCAAGAUUUGUUCUGAGAGAUAGCGAAAAAAUAAUUCAAUUUGUAGAUCAAUACCCUAUGCUUACAAGAAAGCACGAGGAUUAUCUAAAAUGGGAAAAUUUAGUGUCUCUUAAGGAGUCUAGAGCUUUCGACUCUGCAGAAGGAAGAGCUUUAAUGGAAUCCAUUAAAGCCUCCAACGGUCCUCACAAAAAGUGUCGGGAAUAGAGGAAAAUACUCCUACGGAAUCGUUGCGCUUGCGAAGGCAAGCGCCGAUUCCGUGGGGAAAGAAAUAAAUGAAUAAUAUUUUGACAUUAAACCCCUUUAGUAGAACUAUGAUAGAAUGGACUUUAUAAUUAUUUGAAUAACGAGUAUGUGAGCCGUAUGCGAUGAAAGUCGCACGUACGGUUCGAGCAGUCAAAAUUUUCGUAAGAAAACUAGAUUGAAACAGACCCUAUGCAGCUUUACUGUAGUUAGUUAUCACAUUCUCAUAAACUUUGUGUAGCGUAUAAGGUUAAUGUUUGUUUUAAAAACAAAAAGUCGAUAGACACAGUUGAAACACCUUUCUUGGUUUUAUGUUAAUGUUCACCUAAAUUUUUAUGGUUAGGGAUAAAUGACUAAUUGGCAGUUUGUCUGGGGCGGACGUCUUUAAUAGAGUAUCAGAGACAUCCACAAGGUAUGUCUUAAAUUGGAUGGAGACCAAGCAAGCCGUGAACGGUAUAAUAAGGUAUAAUGACUUAAGCAUGCUUAACUGAGAGACCUAUAAGUCAAACAGAUACGUAAGUAGGGCAUAAUGAUCCGGCGGUAUAUAAUGGAAUAGCCGUCGCACAAUAGAUAAAAGUUAGGCCUCACCAAGCAAGAAAUUUUCAAUUAUUACUUAGCCAACCCUCGGGCUAUAAGUUCAAGGGCAGAUUUUUUAAAAUAUUGAAGUAGAAGUGAUGCACAAAAGAUAACUUAAAAGAAAUAGUAAUUCACAUUUUGUCAUUUUUUACAAUUUGACUUUAUUUGAAACUAAUCUUAGUUACGAGGCAAACUUUUUUUAAAAGUUUACGAUUUCUUGUGUAUCUUGUUAGCCCUCGGGCUGUGAGUCCAAGGGCAUACAAAAGAUACCAAGAAAUCACAGUUUUGAAAUUUAUUCCAGGCACGGAAAUGGUAUCACUACGGGUGACCCAGCUUCGCUGGGCACCCCGGCAUUUUCUAAUUUAGCCUCGACCAUUACAUUUAUGUCAUUCUCUGAAAAUAUCCCUUAAAAAAUGUUCCUUUGGAACAUUUUAAAUGGAUAUUUAAACUUCACUUUAGAAAUAUUGGAAGUAGUUAAUGUAGAGGGGUUAACCUCUGCAGAAGCUAGAGUCUUGCUUUUAGAAAGAGAGCAACACUAUAUAGAUUUAUUAGAUCCUGAAUAUAAUAUCCUUAAAACAGCAGGAAGCAACUUAGGAGCUAAAAUGUCAUCAGAAGCUAAAGCUAAAAUAAGUGUGGCAAAGCUCGGGAAACCGAGCCAUAGAAAAGGACUUAAAGGUUUAGAAGCUUUCACAGUAGAAUCUUUACAUAAAAUGAGUGAAAAUAGCGGCAUGAAAAAGAGUGUAUAUGUUUACAACUCGGCUCAUGUGUUAUUGUAUCCAGCCUUUUCUAGUAUUAAAGCAUGUGCUUCAAGUUUAGAGUUAUCUCGAUUUCAAAUAGGUAGAGCUUUAGACAAAGAUAAAACAUUAGAAGGAUAUAUCUUUGUGUCAAGCAUUAAAGAAAAUUGGGAUAACUCAAUUUUAAAAUAAUUCAACCCCCUUUAAUAAGGUCUGCAUAAGGCUAAGUAUAAAUUGAAAAGGCGUGACCUCUAGUAUUUUUAUUUGGUAUACCAGAUAAGAUUAGCUGUGCAUUAGCAUAGACUAGCGAAUAGCCAUUGAAUGCGGGGAAUUUCUUUUGUGUAGCUAGUAUUUUAUCAUUGUACUCAAAAUGUGAAACAAAAUAAGAGAUAUCCGCAAGUCUUAGUUGGUAAUACCCGUGACUUCAGAGACUAUACAUGGCUCGAACUAUUUUAUAAUUAGUUUGAAGAGAUAGUCCAUUUCAUUUAACCAAUUGGUUAAAUGAAAUUUUAACGAUCUGCGAUCGUUUCCCAAAUGACGCUAGGGAUAACAGGCUGAUAGUCCGCGAGAGUACAUAUUGUCCGGACUGUUUGGCACCUCGAUAGUAACAUGUCGAGUUAAAUUAGAAAUAAUUUAUGGGAAAUUGGGUUAAUUUCAAGAAAAUCUUUACACUCCAAAAUUUUUUCUAUAUGUUAAGCUUCAAGCUUAACAAACCCACUUACGGUGGGUUGCCUCUACUUUUUCGGGGGUGCCCAGCGAAGCUGGGUCACCCGAUGGUUAAAAAUUUUUGGAGUUAAAGACAACUUGAAGCGAAGCUAGUUCUGACAAUAAGCUAAUUAUGGAACUAGAACGUUCAACGACUAGUGGGUGAGUUUUGUCAACAAUAAUCCCGCCACGAAUGCCCAACAACUAAAGUCACAGAUAGAAUCGGAAUUUGUGAUUGAAACAAUUAUACUUUGGAAUCAAAAAAAUAAGUCGAUAGAAGAAGAGUAAAGUAAAAACUUUACUCUUUAGCUGCACUUUCAUAAUUUUUAAUUAACCCACUCGGUGGGUUACCCUCUACUUUUUCGGGGGUGCCCAGCGAAGCUGGGUCUUGAUUAACAAAUUUAAUUUGAAGUGUUCCAUUAAUGCAAGAGGUAGUGGGUUUAGAAUUAGAAUCUCAUCCAAAUCUUUGCCAGCUCUACAAUCAUUGUUGAAAGAUAUAAUGCCGCCUAUGAUGAGAUAUAAAAUAGGGCUGUAGAUUUAAGCGAAGAAUGUGAUAGAGCUUAAGGUUCUGUAUAAAAUUCAAUUCUAAAGAUGCUCUAUUGUUGCAUAAUUUGAUUAAACCCCACGUACAUAGCAGUAUGGCUUAUAAAAUUCCAAAAGUAUAACAAUCAAUCAACCCCCUUUCAAUUUAAUGAUUAGUUGAUGACAUAGUCUGAACCAAUUUGUGAAAAUUGGAAACUUAGGAUAAAGAGCCUAAGUGAUAACAAAAUUUGGUCGACUCAUCCUAUCCUCCGGGUGUACAAGCUUGGAAGGGUUCGGCUGUUCGCCGAUUAAAAGGGUACGCGAGUUGGGUUCUUUUUUUACUCUGACGAAGGAAAAAAGAUUUAUCAAUGGUUAAAAAAUAAAAAUAGGGUUUACACUAUAAAAGUAAUAGUAAACCAUGUUUUAUUUGACAUCUUGUAGUAAUUACUGGAAAUAUUACAUGGUACUAAUCUUAGUUACGAGGCGAACUUUUUCUAAAGGUUCAACGCCUAGAGGCCCUAUUUCAGGAUUUCUGGGCAUAGAUAGUAAUUUACCCUGGGCGAUUUUGCACACUGCGUGAUUUAACAUUGCGUUGCUUCCCCUUUAAUUAUUUAAUGUUUAAAGGGGUGUAUGUGCAUUCCUUUUUCCUCUUUGGAAAAACAAAUUAUUUUAGCCUUCUGUAGGCUUUGUCUACUGAAGGCUCUUUUACGUCAACUUCCAAUAAAGGUUUGUCAGCCUUUUCCCUUAAGGGGACAGUGAUUUUAAUUGUCACAAGUUUGGAAGUUUAGAGGGUAAACGAUCUUAUCAAUAUAACUCGUGUGUUCAUUUAAUAAAUUAAUAAUAUGAAAAAUUUAAAAAAUAUAAAAACACUAACACCUGAUUCUUUAAUUUCAGUGUUGAUAGGAAUUCUUCUAGGCGACGGAGGAAUCUAUCGAACUUCUUCAACAAGUAAUUGCCGAUUUGAAAUGAGUUUUGGUCAACAUUCGCAACAAUUUGCUGAAAAAAUUGGGGAAUUAUUUAAAGAUUACAUGAGUAAUCCUGUUAAAUCUGUAACAUUGAAAGUUAGAGAUAAAACUUAUACAAAUUAUAGAUUAAAAACAGCUACUUUAUCUUUAUUUAACCAGUACCAUGAUAUGUUUUAUAAUUGGAACCCUGAAAAAGGUAAAUAUAUAAAAAUAGUUCCCAAAAACAUUUCAGAGUUUAUGGACCCUAUUGUUUUAGCAUAUUUGAUAAUGUCGGACGGAAAUUUUGAUAAAAACCGGAAUAGAGUACGAAUCUUUACCAAUAGUUUUACUAAAGAAGAAGUUCAAAUACUAGCUGAUGCUAUAAAUGCUAAAUUAGGAAUUUACGUGGGUGUAUUACACGAUCGAAAAGAUCAAUGGAUUUUAACUAUCGGAGCUAAACAGUUAGAUUUACUUAGACAAACUGUGUCACUACAUUUUGAUCCAAGUAUGCUUUACCGAAUAGGUCUUUAAUUAAAAUCCGGGGGUUCACGAUAAAUCUUAUUUUUAUAAUUAACCAUUGAUAUAUCUCAGAGCCCCUUUUUGUUUGUAAUUUAACUUUUUGGGUUGAAUGACAAUAUCAGAAUGAGAACUGGAGAAAUUGCAAGAAAGACUUUAAUAAUACAAAGUUAACUUGCAGCCGAGUGCGAUAUGUGAAAUUUUAUUCUAUGGAGUAAAAAUGUAUCGUAAAGGUUCAACGACUAAUGGGUGAGUAUUCACAACAAUAAUCCCGACACGAAUUUCCAGCGCUAGUAAAUUAUAUUUACUAGUGAUGACAUAGUCUGAACAGUAGUGUGAACUACUGAAGUAGUGGUUAAAUUCCUACUACGGUAACAAAAUUGUUAAUACGACGUGAGUCAGUAUGGUCCCUAUCUUCCGGAGGGACAAAUAGUAAACAGAGGUUGGCCUCUUCGUACGAAAGGAUCAGAUGGCUGUGUUUCUAUAGUGUACCAAUUGUUGGCUAAAGCUGGCACAGUUGGGUAGCCACAAACAUAACGGAUAAGCGCUGAAAGCAUAUCAAGCGCGAAACCGCCCUCUAGAUACUAUCUUUAGUUUCUCAAAACUAAAAAGAUAAGAAAUAGAAUAUUUCUUGAAUAGGGUGCAAGUUAAAUUGUUGUGAAACAUUAAGCUUAGCACUACUAAUUUAUCAAUUGGCUGAGUGUUAU
rnacentral:rRNA from 1 species